CUUGUUACUUAUGUUUAUAUUAUAUUGCAAUUGUGAACACAUUCACUAGCUCUUUGCAUAAUAAUUAAAUAUCUUUCAUGCCCAAUGAAAACAAAUUAUCUUGGAUUUUGGAAAACUGUAUUGAUUUUUUUCUAUUUUAUUAUUAUUUUUUUCAGACAGAGUCUCACUCUAUUGAUGGGCUGGAGUGCAGUGGCGCGCCCUUUGCUCACUCUAACCUCUGCUUCCUGGGUUCAAGCAAUUCUGCUGCCUCAGCCUCCCAAGUAGCUGGGACAACAGGUUUCUGCCACCACACCUGGCUAUUUUGUAGUUUUAGUAGAGGCAGGGAUUCCCUCUUUUUGGAUUGUUUGAAAUAGUUUUAGAAGAAAUGGUGCCAGCUCUUCCUUGUGUGUCUGGUAGAAUUCGGCUGUGAACCCGUCUGGACCUGGGCUUUUUUUGUGUGGUAGGCUCUUAAUUGCUGCCUCAACUUCAGACCUUGUUAUUGGUCUAUUCAUAGUUUCAGCUUCCUCCUGGUUUAGGCUUGGGAGGACACAGGAAUCCAGGAAUUUGUCCAUUUCUUCCAGGUUUACUAGUUUAUGCACAUAGAGUUGUUUGUAAUAUUCUCUGAUGAUGGUUUGAAUUUCUGUGGAAUCUGUGGUGAUUUCCCCUUUAUCAUUUUUUAUUGCAUCUAUUUGGUUGUUCUCUCUUUUAUUUUUAAUCAAUAUGGCUAGUGGUCUAUUUUGUUGACCUUUUCAAAAAACCAGCUCUUGGAUUUAUUGAUUUUUUUGAAGGGUUUUUCGUGUCUCAAUCUCCUUCAGCUCAGCUCUGAUCUUAGUUAUUUCUUGUCUUCUGCUGGGUUUUUUUUGGUCUUGGUCCUCUAGCUCUUUCAAUUUUGACGAUAGGGUGUCAAUUUUGGAUCUCUCCAUUCUCCUCAUAUGGGCACUUAUUGCUAUAUACUUUCCUCUAGAGACUGCUUUAAAUGUGUCCCAGAGGUUCUGGCACGUUGUGUCUUCGUUCUCAUUGGUUUCGAAGAACUUCUUUAUUUCUGCCUUCAUUUCGUUGUUUACCCAGUCAACAUUCAAGAGCCAGUUGUUCAGUUUCCAUGAAGCUGUGUGGUUCUGGGUCGGUUUCUGAAUUCUGAGUUCUAACUUGAUUGCACUAUGGUCUGAGAGGCUGUUUGUUAUGAUUUCAGUUGUUUUGCAUUUGUUGAGCAGUGCUUUACUUCCAAUUAUGUGGUCAAUUUUAGAGUAGGUGUUAUGUGGUGCUGAGAAGAAUGUGUAUUCUGUGGAUUUGGGGUGGAGAGUUCUGUAAAUGUCUAUCAGGUUUGCUUGCUCCAGGUCUGAGUUCAAGCCCUGGAUAUCCUUGUUGAUUUUUUGUCUGGUAGAUCUGUCUAGUAUUGACAGUGGAGUGUUAAAGUCUCCCACUAUUAUUGUGUGGGAGUCUAAGUCCUUUUGUAAGUCCUUAAGAACUUGUCUUAUGUAUCUGGGUGCUCCUGCAUUGGGUCCAUAUAUGUUUAGGAUUGUUAGCUCUUCUUGUUGUAUCGAUCCUUUUACCAUUAUGUAAUGGCCUUCUUUGUCUCUUUUGAUCUUUGUUGCUUUAAAGUCUAUUUUAUUGGAGAUGAGAAUUGCAACUCCUGCUUUUUUUUUGCUCUCCAUUUGCUUGGUAAAUCUUCCUCCAUCCCUUUAUUUUGAGCCUUUGUGUAUCCUUGCAUGUGAGAUGGGUUUCCUGGAUACAGCACACUGAUGGGUUUUGGCUUUUUAUCCAAUUUGCCAGUCUGUGUCUUUUGAUUGGUGCAUUUAGUCCAUUUACAUUUAGGGUUAAUAUUGUUAUGUGUGAAUUUGAUACUGCCAUUUUGAUGCUAAGUGGCUGUUUUGCCUGUUAGUUGUUGUAGAUUCUUCAUUAUGUUGAUGCUCUUUAGCAUUCAGUGUGAUUUUGGAAUGGCUGGUACUGGUUGAUCCUUUCUAUGUGUAGUGCCUCUUUUAGGAGCUCUUGUAAAGCAGGCCUGGUGGUGACAAAAUCUCUGAGUACUUGCUUGUUCGCAAAGGAUUUUAUUUUUCCUUCACUUCUGAAGCUCAGUUUGGCUGGAUAUGAAAUUCUGGGUUGAAAGUUCUUUUCUUUAAGAAUGUUGAAUAUUGGCCCCCACUCUCUUCUGGCUUGUAGUGUUUCUGCCGAGAGAUCUGCUGUGAGUCUGAUGGGCUUCCCUUUGUGGGUGACCCGACCUUUCUCUCUGGCUGCCCUUAGUAUUCUCUCCUUUAUUUCAACCCUAUUGAAUCUGACGAUUAUGUGCCUUGGGGUUGCUCUUCUUGCGGAAUAUCUUUGUGGUGUUCUCUGAAUUUCCUGCAAUUGAGUGUUGGCCUGUCUUGCUAGGUGGGGGAAAUUUUCCUGGAUGAUGUCCUGAAGAGUAUUUUCCAGCUUGGAUUCAUUCUCUUCGUCCCUUUCUGGUACACCUAUCAAACGUAGGUUAGGUCUUUUCACAUAGUCCCACAUUUCUUGGAGACUUUGUUCAUUCCUUUUUGUGUUUUUUUCUCUAAUCUUGGUUUCUCAUUUUAUUUCAUUGAGUUGGUCUUCGACUUCAGAUAUUCUUUCUUCUGCUUGGUCAAUUCGGCUAUUGAAACUUGUGCAUGCUUCGUGAAGUUCUCGUAUUGUGUUUCUCAGCUCCUUUAAUUCAUUCAUAUUCCUCUCUAAGUUAUCCAUUCUUGUUAUCAUUUCCUCAAAUCUUUUUUCAAAUCUUUUCUCAAGGUUCUUAGUUUCUUUGCAUUGAUUUAAUACAUGAUCUUUUGGCUCACCAAAGUUUCUCAUUAUCCAUCUUCUGAAGUCUAAUUCCGUCAUUUCGUCACAGUCAUUCUCCGUCCAGCUUCGUUCCCUUGCUGGUGAGGAGUUUUGGUCCUUUCUAGGAGGCGAGGUGUUCUGGUUUUGGGUGUUUUCCUCCUUUUUGCUCUGGUUUCUUCCCAUCUUUGCGGAUUUGUCCGCUGGUCGUCUGCGUAGUUGCUGACUUUUCGAUUGGGUCUCUGAGUGGACACCCUGAAUGUUGAUGAUGAAGUAUUUCUGUUGCUUGGUUUUCCUUCUACCAGUCUAGCCCCUUCGCUGUACGAGUGCUGAGGUCCGCUCCAGACCCUGCUUGUCUGGGGUGCACCUCUAGCAGCUGUGGCACAGUGAGGGAUGCUACCAGUUUCUUUUUCUGCUAUCUUUGUCCCAGGAUGGUGCCUGCCUAAUGUCAGUCUUUUGGAUAUAGAGGGGUCAGGGAGCUGCUUGAGGAGACAGUUUGUACUUUAUAGGGGUUUAAUUGCUGAGCUGUGAGCUGUGUUGUUCAUUCAGGGCUGUUAGGCUGCUAUGUUUGAUUCUGCUGCAAUAGAGCUCAUUUAAAAAACCCUUUUUUUUCUCAAAUG
ensembl:lncRNA